rnacentral:rRNA from 1 species
GGGGGACAAAGUGACAGGUGGUGCAUGGUUGUCGUCAGCUCGUGUCGUGAGAUGUUGGGUUAAGUCCCGCAACGAGCGCAACCCUUAAGCUUAGUUGCCAUCAUUAAGUUGGGCACUCUAAGUUGACUGCCGGUGACAAACCGGAGGAAGGUGGGGAUGACGUCAAAUCAUCAUGCCCCUUAUGAUUUGGGCUACACACGUGCUACAAUGGACAAUACAAAGGGCAGCGAAACCGCGAGGUCAAGCAAAUCCCAUAAAGUUGUUCUCAGUUCGGAUUGUAGUCUGCAACUCGACUACAUGAAGCUGGAAUCGCUAGUAAUCGUAGAUCAGCAUGCUACGGUGAAUACGUUCCCGGGUCUUGUACACACCGCCCGUCACACCACGAGAGUUUGUAACACCCGAAGCCGGUGGAGUAACCUUUUAGGAGCUAGCCGUCGAAGGUGGGACAAAUGAUUGGGGUGAAGUCGUAACAAGGUAGCCGUAUCGGAAGGUGCGGCUGGAUCACCUCCUUU